AGAGUUUGAUCAUGGCUCAGAGUGAACGCUGGCGGCAGGCCUAACACAUGCAAGUCGAACGGCAGCACGGCAGUAGCAAUACUGUGGGUGGCGAGUGGCGGACGGGUGAGGAAUACAUCGGGAUCUACCCUGUUGUGGGGGAUAACGUAGGGAAACUUACGCUAAUACCGCAUAAGAACUGAGGUUGAAAGCGGCGGACCGCAAGGCGUCGCGCGAUUGGAUGAACCGAUGCCCGAUUAGCUAGUUGGUGAGGUAAAGGCUCACCAAGGCGACGAUCCGUAGCUGGUCUGAGAGGACGACCAGCCACACUGGAACUGAGACACGGUCCAGACUCCUACGGGAGGCAGCAGUGGGGAAUUUUGGACAAUGGGCGCAAGCCUGAUCCAGCCAUUCCGCGUGAGUGAAGAAGGCCUUCGGGUUGUAAAGCUCUUUCGCAAGGAAAGAAAACUUAUCUCCUAAUACGAGGUGAGGUUGACGGUACCUUGAUAAGAAGCACCGGCUAACUACGUG
rnacentral:rRNA from 1 species